AGGUUCUGUGAUGAAAGGAUUCUACAUUUUCAUUUUGAUUUGACAGAAUUUUCAGAUAAAACAGUCAGAAUAUUUCUUCCGAUAUUAAUUGAAACAUUUUAAUUUUUAUCCAAAAUGUCUAUCCUGUACUUAAAUAGUGUCUCAGAUAAACAUAGGGAGACCUCUGCCUGCACACCAGGGACAGGAGCGUGUGAGUUUGCCCACGGUCCUCAGGCCCAGAGAGACUUCACUUGAUUGAACUCCAGUGAACUAUGACCAGCUGCUAUCUAUAGCUACCCACUGACAGUAGGUUGGCUUUUCUUUUUGCCUGUAAAUUACUGGACACAGGUGGGGAAUUUAUUAGCAUAAGUGAAAGUUAGGAAGCAGUGCUCCAUCCUUCUCCCCGCUGGUGCUGCCCUGCUGCAAGUUGUUGACCUUCUCUGAAGUAGGAGCCUGUGCAGCUCUCAACCCAGUGACUACUUGUGGUGAGUAGGCUGUGCUGGUCAGAAGCAUGCGUCCAGUCAUCAACAGCGUCUCACAAACUAUCAGGUGCACACACAUCAGUGGUUUCUAAUUAACAAAGUCUCUUUUGGGGUGCCUUUUUUGUAGCUGACCAAGGUUAUACCUUCUCACAGACCCAGUGGCCACUCACAGCGACCUAAAUUAGGACCAAAACUCUAAAGCUCGAGGGUGACUCUGCUUCAGCCUGGAGUCAGAAGACUGUGAGCAGCUGCUGGAGGGUGACAGGGUCACCAAACUGAGCUGGUGGCACUCAUGCCACCUAGGAGGUCGGAUAUAGCACCCCACACCACCUGCGUGGUGGUCAGCCUGCCAGUGUUGCCUCGGUUAUCCUUAGCUGCAUGCGUGAGAUCAGAAAGGAUGAGCCCAAACCGAGUCGUUGAGGCUGGAAGACAGCAAACAAGCACCUUGUGCUUGCACUGAUGGGCCCGUGUCGGAGAGCAGACACCCACGGUGUUAGGCGCUGCACAAAUACAGGACAGAGGGAGCUGCUGCCUUACUCAGUUGUCACAGGAAUCUCCGUUGAACAAAGGGACGGGACCAAACCCCCUCCCGGAGCUGGCCGCGGGAUCCCCCUGCCGGGCUCGGAGGGCACCGCGGCUCCCCCCAGCACCGCCAGGUGGUGCCGCUGCUCCGCGCUGCUCCGCGAACCUCCGGAUUUAUUAUUAAAUUAUUUUUUACUAUUAAAUUAUUUUAUUUUUAUUUUUUAUUUUUUUUUAAUUUAAAUCUUGGGGCUUACAUGCAACUUACGUAACUCCGAGGGAUCUCUGA
rnacentral:lncRNA from 1 species